rnacentral:rRNA from 1 species
GAUGAACGCUAGCGGGAGGCCUAACACAUGCAAGCCGAGCGGUAUUGUUUCUUCGGAAAUGGGAGAGCGGCGUACGGGUGCGGAACACGUGUGCAACCUGCCUUUAUCUGGGGGAUAGCCUUUCGAAAGGAAGAUUAAUACUCCAUAAUAUAUUGAUUGGCAUCAAUUAAUAUUGAAAGCUCCGGCGGAUAGAGAUGGGCACGCGCAAGAUUAGCUAGUUGGUGAGGUAACGGCUCACCAAGGCGAUGAUCUUUAGGGGGCCUGAGAGGGUGAUCCCCCACACUGGUACUGAGACACGGACCAGACUCCUACGGGAGGCAGCAGUGAGGAAUAUUGGUCAAUGGGAGCAAGCCUGAACCAGCCAUCCCGCGUGAAGGACGACUGCCCUAUGGGUUGUAAACUUCUUUUGUAUAGGGAUAAACCUACCCUCGUGAGGGUAGCUGAAGGUACUAUACGAAUAAGCACCGGCUAACUCCGUGCCAGCCGCCGCGGUAACAC